UCGGCCUGAGGAGAAAGGGAACAUGUCAAAAUUUUUAAUUUUUUUAUGGUUGAAAUGAGUUGUUUACUGUGGGAUACAUCGAUUUGAGUUGAAAGGGAACAUGUCAGCAUUCUCUUUAUACGAGAAACAGAUAUCGUAUUUUUGCUGUACUGGAGUGAAAGGGAACUAGUCAUGACACACAUGUUUCCUUUCAACGCCGAACAUUC